GACGAACGCUGGCGGCGUGCCUAAUACAUGCAAGUCGAGCGCUCAGGAGAGGAGCUUGCUCUUCUGAGGUGAGUGGCGAACGGGUGAGUAACACGUAGGUAACCUGCCUUUAAGAGGGGGAUAACUAUGGGAAACGGUAGCUAAUACCGCAUAACAAUGUAAGACACAUGUUAUAUAUUUGAAAGGGGCAUUUGCUCCACUACAAGAUGGACCUGCGGCGUAUUUGCUAGUAGGUGAGGUAAACGGUUAACUAGGCGACGAUACAGAGCCGACCUGGGAGGGGGAUCGGCCCCACUUGGACUUGAGCCCCGCCCAGACUCCUAAGGGAGGCAGCAGUAAGGAAUUCUCCGGAAAGGGGGGAAAGCUGGCCGGGGAACCGCGCGGGAAUGAAUAAGGUUCUCCGAUCCUAAAGCUUUGUUGAUUAUCGAAGACCAAUUUUGGAGUUGACUGUUCACGUUUUGACGGUAGCUUAUCAGAAAGGCACGGCUAACUACGUG
rnacentral:rRNA from 1 species